GGGACGACGUCAAGUCAUCAUGGCCCUUACGAGUAGGGCUACACACGUGCUACAAUGGCGCAUACAGAGGGCAGCCAACUUGCGAAAGUGAGCGAAUCCCAAAAAGUGCGUCGUAGUCCGGAUUGGAGUCUGCAACUCGACUCCAUGAAGUCGGAAUCGCUAGUAAUCGUGGAUCAGAAUGCCACGGUGAAUACGUUCCCGGGCCUUGUACACACCGCCCGUCACACCAUGGGAGUGGGCUGCAAAAGAAGUAGGUAGUUUAACCUUCGGGGGGACGCUUACCACUUUGUGGUUCAUGACUGGGGUGAAGUCGUAACAAGGUAGCGCUAGGGGAACCUGGCGCUGGAUCACCUCCUUAAACGAUGAU
rnacentral:rRNA from 1 species